GCUAAUUUACAUUUCGGACACAAAUUCGGUGUCCCAGAAAACCCUGCAGUGCAAGAGCAUUCAGCAUCCCAGAGAACGCCUGGGGAUUCAGGUCAGAGUUAUGCAAUCCUGACAUGGAGAGAAUGAAGAUUUGUUUUGGUGCUGGAUGAAAACCAGCACUGGAGCAAAACUAAGGUAAGUAAAGGCUAAAUUUAAUCUGACAUUACAUCGCCAUUCAAAACUUAAGUGAUAUCCUGUAUAGGCAUU